CGGAGAAACAUCAAACGCAAUGGAAGUUGUCGAACCAGUGGUCGAAGAGAAAAAACAAAAUGCCGACGAACAGGCAGAUAACAAUGAAAAAGGCGCUGAGCCGAAAACUGUUCAGAAAGAGGAGGCGCAGCCUAUGGGCAGUAUAAAAAAAUUACUGAAACGCCUCA